UACGUAGGGCGCAAGCGUUGUCCGGAAUUAUUGGGCGUAAAGAGCUCGUAGGCGGUUUGUCGCGUCUGCUGUGAAAACCUAAGGCUCAACCUUGGGCUUGCAGUGGGUACGGGCAGACUAGAGUGCGGUAGGGGUGACUGGAAUUCCUGGUGUAGCGGUGGAAUGCGCAGGUAUCAGGAGGAACACCGAUGGCGAAGGCAGGUCACUGGGCCGCAACUGACGCUGAGGAGCGAAAGCAUGGGGAGCGAACAGG
rnacentral:rRNA from 1 species